UAGCGUAUAUUAAAGUUGUUGCAGUUAAAAAGCUCGUAGUUGGAUCUCGGGCGCGGGCCUGCGGUCCUGGCUCGUGUCAGGUACUGCUCGUCCCGGCCUACCUUCUGGUCGUCCCUUGGUGCCCUUGAUCGGGUGUCUCGAGUGGCCGGAACGUUUACUUUGAAAAAAUUAGAGUGUUCAAAGCAGGCCCCGGUGCCCGAAUAAUGGUGCAUGGAAUAAUAGAAGAGGACCUCGGUUCUAUUCUGUUGGUCUUCGGAUCGCGAGGUAAUGAUUGAGAGGGACUGCCGGGGGCAUUCGUAUUACGGUGUUAGAGGUGAAAUUCUUGGAUCGCCGUAAGACGAACUACUGCGAAAGCAUUUGCCAAGAAUGUUUUCAUUAAUCAAGAACGAAAGUCAGAGGUUCGAAGACGAUCAGAUACCGUCGUAGUUCUGACCAUAAACGAUGCCAACUAACGAUUCGCCGGCGUUGUCUCUAUGACUCGGCGGGCAGCUCCCGGGAAACCAAAGUCUUUGGGUUCCGGGGGAAGUAUGGCUGCAAAGCUGAAACUUAAAGGAAUUGACGGAAGGGCACCACCAGGAGUGGAGCCUGCGGCUUAAUUUGACUCAACACGGGGAAACUCACCCGGCCCGGACACCGCGAGGAUUGACAGAUUGAGAGCUCUUUCUUGAUUCGGUGGGUGGUGGUGCAUGGCCGUUCUUAGUUGGUGGAGCGAUUUGUCUGGUUAAUUCCGAUAACGAACGAGACUCUAGCCUAUUAAAUAGUUCGCCCGUUGUGACCGUGGGCGUCAACUU
rnacentral:rRNA from 1 species